CCGUAGGUGAACCUGCGGAGGGAUCAUUACACAAAUAUGAAGGCGGGCUGGAACCUCUCGGGGUUACAGCCUUGCUGAAUUAUUCACCCUUGUCUUUUGCGUACUUCUUGUUUCCUUGGUGGGUUCGCCCACCACUAGGACAAACAUAAACCUUUUGUAAUUGCAAUCAGCGUCAGUAACAAAUUAAUAAUUACAACUUUCAACAACGGAUCUCUUGGUUCUGGCAUCGAUGAAGAACGCAGCGAAAUGCGAUAAGUAGUGUGAAUUGCAGAAUUCAGUGAAUCAUCGAAUCUUUGAACGCACAUUGCGCCCUUUGGUAUUCCAAAGGGCAUGCCUGUUCGAGCGUCAUUUGUACCCUCAAGCUUUGCUUGGUGUUGGGCGUCUUGUCUCUAGCUUUGCUGGAGACUCGCCUUAAAGUAAUUGGCAGCCGGCCUACUGGUUUCGGAGCGCAGCACAAGUCGCACUCUCUAUCAGCAAAGGUCUAGCAUCCAUUAAGCCUUUUUUUCAACUUUUGACCUCGGAUCAGGUAGGGAUACCCGCUGAACUUAAGCAUAUCAAUAACCGGAGG
rnacentral:rRNA from 1 species